rnacentral:rRNA from 1 species
CGGGUGAGUAACGCGUAGGAAUCUACCCAGUAGUGGGGGACAACUAGUGGAAACGCUAGCUAAUACCGCAUACGCCCUACGGGGGAAAGCGGGGGACCUUCGGGCCUCGUGCUAUUGGAUGAGCCUGCGUAAGAUUAGCUUGUUGGUGAGGUAAUGGCUCACCAAGGCGACGAUCUUUAGCUGGUCUGAGAGGAUAAUCAGCCACACCGGGACUGAGACACGGCCCGGACUCCUACGGGAGGCAGCAGUCGGGAAUAUUGCGCAAUGGGCGAAAGCCUGACGCAGCCAUGCCGCGUGUGUGAAGAAGGCCCUAGGGUUGUAAAGCACUUUCAAUUGGGAGGAAAAGCUAAUGGUUAAUAACCAUUAGCCCUGACGUUACCUUUAGAAGAAGCACCGGCUAACUCCGUGCCAGCAGCCGCGGUAAUACGGAGGGUGCAAGCGUUAAUCGGAAUUACUGGGCGUAAAGCGCGCGUAGGCGGUAUUUUAAGUCGGAUGUGAAAGCCCCGGGCUCA